UACGUAGGGUGCGAGCGUUGUCCGGAAUUAUUGGGCGUAAAGAGCUCGUAGGCGGUUUGUCGCGUCGACUGUGAAAACCUGGGGCUUAACUCUGGGCCUGCAGUCGAUACGGGCAGACUCGAGUGUGGUAGGGGAGACUGGAACUCCUGGUGUAGCGGUGAAAUGCGCAGAUAUCAGGAAGAACACCGGUGGCGAAGGCGGGUCUCUGGGCCACUACUGACGCUGAGGAGCGAAAGCGUGGGGAGCGAACAGG
rnacentral:rRNA from 1 species